rnacentral:rRNA from 1 species
UACGAAGGGGACUAGCGUUGUUCGGAAUCACUGGGCGUAAAGCGCACGUAGGCGGAUAUGUCAGUCAGGGGUGAAAUCCCGGGGCUUAACCUCGGAACUGCCUUUGAUACAGCAUAUCUUGAGUUCCGAUAGAGGUGGGUGGAAUUCCUAGUGUAGAGGUGAAAUUCGUAGAUAUUAGGAAGAACACCGGUGGCGAAGGCGGCCCACUGGAUCGGUACUGACGCUGAGGUGCGAAAGCGUGGGGAGGCAAA